GACGAACGCUGGCGGCGUGCUUAACACAUGCAAGUCGAACGGUGAAGGGAUCAGCUUGCUGGUUCUGGAUGAGUGGCGAACGGGUGAGUAACACGUGAGUAACCUGCCCCCUUCUUCUGGAUAACCGCAUGAAAGUGUGGCUAAUACGGGAUAUUCUGCGCCUGCUGCAUGGUGGGUGUGGGAAAGAUAUUGUUUCGGUGGGGGAUGGGCUCGCGGCCUAUCAGCUUGUUGGUGGGGUGAUGGCCUACCAAGGCGGUGACGGGUAGCCGGCCUGAGAGGGUGGACGGUCACACUGGGACUGAGACACGGCCCAGACUCCUACGGGAGGCAGCAGUGGGGAAUAUUGCACAAUGGGCGCAAGCCUGAUGCAGCGACGCCGCGUGAGGGAUGGAGGCCUUCGGGUUGUGAACCUCUUUCGCCAGUGAAGCAGGCCUGUCCCUUGUGGGUGGGUUGACGGUAGCUGGAGAAGAAGCGCCGGCUAACUACGUG
rnacentral:rRNA from 1 species